CGGCGAUGAUGAUAAAAAGGCCGGGCUUACAGCUGCCAUGUGCUUCCACUGGUAGUAGCUUGAUGAGUGUUUCUCUGAAGGUGUUUUUUGAGCCGG